rnacentral:misc_RNA from 1 species
GAAAAAUCAUAUAAUGAAUUUCAUUCAAAGAUAAGAAAAAACAAAACAACAAUGAUAAUUGAUAACUAUGGCUCUGAGGUCAGAAAGCUCCCAGAUGAUAUCUUUUGACAACAAUCACCUGGCAUUAGACUACUUUGAACGUAGUAGAUUCGAAACCUACUGUGACCAUCCGUUUAGUGAGGGUUAGAGCCAAAUACGUUGUGUGCCUAUAUCUUAUACAAAGGCAGAUAGAACAAAAUUUGAUUUGAUCCAGCAGGAGAGAACCCUCUAAGGCCUUACACUGCAGAAGGGUCAAACAAAAAUCACUCGGAAUCCAGCUUCUGCUUCUUUUCUUCGGGCAGCUCCUCUGUUGUUCCAUGUUUCAACUUAGCUUCUCUACGCUCCCUUUUAACUCCUUUGGCAUUGUGAGGCAAUGGCACACUUCCAACCUUCUGAUCAGGAAUGUAAAUCUUCCCGAGUUUUCCUUGAAUAGCAUCUUUGACAACAUUUUUCUCCUUCUUCUUUGCUUUUUCAAGAGAAGUUUUCAUAGCUUCUUUCCUUAAACUGUCAUCAGGGAGACGAUGUCGCCGAGUUACCAAGUCCAUGGAUGGCCCAACCUCCACUAAUUCUAUUCUUGGAACAACUGUGCCAGAUUUUUUAAGACGUAAUGCACAAUGUGUGAAGAAAACUCUAUUUGGUGACACAGCUACACAAACAUAUACACGAUCUAAUCCGGCUAGGUUCAGGUUGGUCACCACCUCGCCAUGGAAUAGAUCGAGCAAAACUUCUUUCAAAUGUUUCAACUCUUCAACACUCUCAAAUCCUUCUCCCAUAAAGGCAAAAAAAGGUUUGGACCCAAUUUUAGGAGCCAAAUUCUUAUCAUAUUUGAAAGACUUCAUGCUUUUGAACUCCUCCACUCCUACCUCUACAAGAUCGUAAAUGUGGUGAUCAUAGGUUCGUCCAAGAACAAGAUUGUUAGGGCGCUUCUUGGAGUGAGAACCAUACACAAAAAGACUGCAAUCUGUCUUAAGGGAGAAAAACUCGAGAGAAGUCUCGCCCCCGCUCUCAAAUGGUCUAAUGUUAUCAUUCUUCCGGGUAUAUUUGACGGAAUUAUCCCUCUUCAAGUGAUAAAUUUCGGUCAUCACAUCAUUCAAUACUUGGCUUGUUUUCGUACCGUGUAGUAUCAAAGUCUUCUUCCCAGUUUCAACCAAUUUCGGAGCACGCUUUUCAAGCUCCCUCCUGAUUCUUCCUUUUUGUGGGGUUUUGAAUUUCAUCAUGAUUAC